rnacentral:rRNA from 1 species
UAGCUUAAAAUUGAAAGUAAGUUCUGCCCAAUGAUUAGGUUUAAAUGGCUGCAGUAUAUUGACUGUGCAAAGGUAGCAUAAUAGUUAGUCUUUUAAUUGGGGACUGGUAUGAAUGAAUACAUGAGAAAUUUCUUUUAUUAUGAUUAUUUUUAAAAUUUAAUUUUUAAGUAAGAAAGCUUAAUUAAUUUUUUGGGACGAGAAGACCCUAUAGAACUUUAAUUUCCUUUUUUAUAAUUUAUUUUUAGUUAAUUAUUUUUCAUAAUUUCGGUAUUUUUUAUUGGGGUGAUAAAUAAAUGUAACUUUAUUUUUUUUAUUCAUUUAUUUAUGUUUAUGUUGAUCCUGUAUUAAUAGAUUAUAAGAUUUAGUUACCUUAGGGAUAACAGCGUAAUUUUUGUGGAAAGUUCAUAUUUAUAUAAAAGUUUGCGACCUCGAUGUUGAAUUAAGAUAAGAUUAUGGAGCAG